rnacentral:rRNA from 1 species
GACGUAGGAUGCAAGCGUUGUCCGGAUUUAUUGGGCGUAAAGAGUUCGUAGGUGGUUCGUUAAGUCUGAUGUUAAAGACCGAGGCUCAACUUCGGGACUGCAUUGGAUACUGGCGGACUUGAGUGUGGUAGAGGCAAUCGGAAUUCCAGGUGUAGCGGUGAAAUGCGUAGAUAUCAGGAGGAACACCGGUGGCGAAGGCGGGUCUCUGGGCAGUAACUGACGCUGAGGAGCGAAAGCGUGGGGAGCGAACAGG